rnacentral:rRNA from 1 species
UACGUAGGGUGCAAGCGUUAAUCGGAAUUACUGGGCGUAAAGCGUGCGCAGGCGGUUGUGCAAGACAGAUGUGAAAUCCCCGGGCUUAACCUGGGAAUUGCAUUUGUGACUGCACGGCUAGAGUGUGUCAGAGGGGGGUAGAAUUCCACGUGUAGCAGUGAAAUGCGUAGAUAUGUGGAGGAAUACCGAUGGCGAAGGCAGCCCCCUGGGAUAACACUGAACGCCUGCAUGCACGAAAGCGUGGG